rnacentral:rRNA from 1 species
AGGACGAACGCUGGCGGCGUGCUUAACACAUGCAAGUCGAGCGGAAAGGCCCUUCGGGGUACUCGAGCGGCGAACGGGUGAGUAACACGUGAGUAAUCUGCCCCUAGCUCUGGGAUAGCUCCGGGAAACCGGGAUUAAUACCGGAUACGACCACCUUAGACAUCUUUUGUGGUGGAAAGAAUUUCGGCUAGGGAUGAGCUCGCGGCCUAUCAGCUUGUUGGUGGGGUAAUGGCCUACCAAGGCGACGACGGGUAGCCGGCCUGAGAGGGCGACCGGGCCACACUGGGACUGAGACACGGCCCAGACUCCUACGGGAGGCAGCAGUGGGGAAUAUUGCGCAAUGGGCGAAAGCCUGACGCAGCGACGCCGCGUGGGGGAUGGAAGGCCUUCGGGUUGUAAACCCCUUUCAGCAGGGACGAAGCGAAAGUGACGGUACCUGCAGAAGAAGCGCCGGCUAACUACGUGCCAGCAGCCGC